CCCCCUGGCAGUGGGCAAAGAGACACCUGAUGGGUGGCGCUGCUCUUACAUCAGUCUGGGCAGAGGAGUGCCCAGCCCUUUGUCCGGCCCAGCUUGGUGCCUGGGCUGGUGGCCAGGGCUGUUUCAUGCUUGAGGCACAUUA